rnacentral:misc_RNA from 1 species
GGAACAGAUGCAGAGUUAGGAGCACAAGAAGAUGAUUUUCUCAUCCAGGAUGAGAUUUUUAAAUCUCGUCUGGCAAGCAUUAAGCGUGAGGAAGAAAUUAUUUUGCGUGAGAGAGAUCGUUAUGAACUUGAAAAAGGACGUCUCAUACGUGAAAUGAAACGAAUACGAGACGAGGAUGGUUCCCAUUUUAAUAAUUUUCAGAUUUUGAAUCACCGAUAUGCCCUCCUAAACCUCCUUGGCAAAGGAGGAUUUAGUGAGGUUUACAAGGCUUAUGAUUUGGUAGAGCAUAGAUAUGUAGCAUGUAAGCUUCAUGGUCUGAAUGCUCAAUGGAGUGAGGAUAAGAAGCAAAGUUACAUAAGGCAUGCAAUACGGGAGUACAAUAUUCACAAGACGUUGGUGCAUAAUCACAUUGUUCGGCUUUGGGACACUUUUGAGAUUGACCAGAAUACAUUCUGCACUGUCUUAGAGUAUUGUAGCGGAAAAGAUCUUGAUGCUGUGCUUAAAGCAACACCUAUAUUGCCUGAGAGAGAAGCUCGGAUCAUUAUUGUGCAGAUAUUUCAAGGCCUUGUAUACUUGAAUAAAAGAGCACAGAAGAUUAUCCAUUAUGAUCUGAAGCCCGGGAAUGUUCUAUUUGAUGAGUUUGGUGUUGCUAAAGUUACAGAUUUCGGUCUGAGCAAGAUUGUGGAGGAUGACAUUGGAUCCCAGGGAAUGGAACUUACAUCCCAGGGAGCUGGAACAUAUUGGUACUUGCCACCAGAAUGCUUUGAGCUCAGCAAGACUCCUUUAAUAUCAU